CCUACGGGAGGCUGCAGUGAGGAAUAUUGGUCAAUGGGCGGAAGUCUGAACCAGCCAAGUAGCGUGCAGGAUGACGGCCCUACGGGUUGUAAACUGCUUUUAUACGGGAAUAACGCGCCUUACGUGUAGGGCUUUGCAUGUACCGUAUGAAUAAGGACCGGCUAAUUCCGUGCCAGCAGCCGCGGUAAUACGGAGGGUCCGGGCGUUAUCCGGAUUUAUUGGGUUUAAAGGGAGCGUAGGCGGCAGGCUAAGCGUGCUGUGAAAUGUCCGGGCUCAACCCGGGCCUUGCAGCGUGAACUGGCGUGCUUGAGUGCGCGGGAGGCAGGCGGAAGUCAGGGUGUAGCGGUGAAAUGCUUAGAUAUGACGAAGAACCCCGAUUGCGAAGGCAGCUUGCUGCAGCGGAACUGACGCUGAUGCUCGAAAGCGCGGGUAUCGAACAGGAUUAGAUACCCCUGUAGUC
rnacentral:rRNA from 1 species